CCUACGGGAGGCAGCAGUGAGGAAUAUUGGUCAAUGGACGAGAGUCUGAACCAGCCAAGUAGCGUGAAGGAUGACUGCCCUAUGGGUUGUAAACUUCUUUUAUAUGGGAAUAAAAUGAUCCACGUGUGGGAUUUUGUAUGUACCAUAUGAAUAAGGAUCGGCUAACUCCGUGCCAGCAGCCGCGGUAAUACGGAGGAUCCGAGCGUUAUCCGGAUGUAUUGGGUUUAAAGGGAGCGUAGGUGGAUUGUUAAGUCAGUUGUGAAAGUUUGCGGCUCAACCGUAAAAUUGCAGUUGAAACUGGCAGUCUUGAGUACAGUAGAGGUAGGCGGAAUUCGUGGUGUAGCGGUGAAAUGCUUAGAUAUCACGAAGAACUCCGAUUGCGAAGGCAGCUCACUGGACUGCAACUGACACUGAGGCUCGAAAGUGUGGGUAUCAAACAGGAUUAGAUACCCUAGUAGUC
rnacentral:rRNA from 1 species